GCAUCAAAAUCAGAGUCCAUCUCAAAGUAGAAUAAUCAAAUCAAGAUAUCAAUGGAUCCCACACCUUAUCUUUUUUGGCAUCAUCAGUCAGAAAAGAAACUAGAGGUGCAGGAAAUAAAUCAAGCAGUUAAUCUCUCCCAUCUAGUCAACCAAUCUAAAUUCUGGAUAUUUUGGUGUGAGGAUCCCUAAAAGGUAAGCUACAGGACUCUAAAUUGAGCAAGAUUAGAUCCUACAGAAUUUUGAGAGAAGCAAGAAAGGAACAUAAUUUACAGAAUUGAAUUUGGAUUCUAGAUGAGGUAGCUACAGUAGGUUGAAGUUGGUAACAAUAUUGGACACAACAAGAAACACCCGAUACACCCAGAUUCUUCUUAGUAUUUCUUGGCACAA
rnacentral:lncRNA from 1 species